rnacentral:rRNA from 1 species
CCUACGAGAGGCAGCAGUAGGGAAUCUUCCACAAUGGGCGAAAGCCUGAUGGAGCAACGCCGCGUGAGUGAUGAAGGCCUUCGGGUUGUAAAACUCUGUCAUUCGGGACGAACCGGAGUCUGAGGAAAUGCAGACUCUCUGACGGUACCGGAGGAGGAAGCCCCGGCUAACUACGUGCCAGCAGCCGCGGUAAUACGUAGGGGGCAAGCGUUGUCCGGAUUCACUGGGCGUAAAGCGCGCGCAGGCGGUGAUGUAAGUCUGAGGUGAAAACCCGAAGCUCAACUUCGGGACUGCCUUGGAUACUGCGUCACUUGAGGAUAGGAGAGGCAAGGGGAAUUCCACGUGUAGCGGUGAAAUGCGUAGAGAUGUGGAGGAACACCUGUGGCGAAGGCGCCUUGCUGGCCUAUUUCUGACGCUGAGGCGCGAAAGCGUGGGGAGCAAACAGGAUUAGAUACCCUGGUAGUCCACGCUGUAAACGAUGAGUGCUAGGUGUAGGUGGGCUCAUACCCAUCUGUGCCGAAGCUAACGCAUUAAGCACUCCGCCUGGGGAGUACGGUCGCAAGACUGAAACUUAAAUGAAUUGACGG